rnacentral:rRNA from 1 species
CCAGACUCCUACGGGAGGCAGCAGUGGGGGAUAUUGCACAAUGGGGGGAACCCUGAUGCAGCGACGCCGCGUGGGUGAAGAAGUCAUUCGUGACGUAAAGCCCUAUCAGCAGGGAAGAAAAUGACGGUACCUGAAGAAGAAGCCCCGGCUAACUACGUGCCAGCAGCCGCGGUAAUACGUAGGGGGCAAGCGUUAUCCGGAUUUACUGGGUGUAAAGGGGGCGCAGACGGCGAUGCAAGCCAGGAGUGAAAGCCCGGGGCCCAACCCCGGGACUGCUCUUGGAACUGCGUGGCUAGAGUGCAGGAGGGGCAGGCGGAAUUCCUGGUGUAGCGGUGAAAUGCGUAGAUAUCAGGAGGAACACCGGUGGCGAAGGCGGCUUACUGGACUGUAACUGACGUUGAGGCUCGAAAGCGUGGGGAGCAAACAGGAUUAGAUACCCCCGUA